UGGUUCAUGAAAAUCGAAGAUUCUUUCUACUGUAUUAAGCCAAUCGAUAAAGUCAUCAACAUUUAUUUUCCCUUCAAAUUCUGGAAUAUCAAAUCUGGGAUUAUAUUUAUUGUGCCACUCGUCUUGGACUUCAUUUCUUCUCCGACAUCUUCUUGACUCCCUUGGAAGAUGAGGUGUUUCAUCAUCAGAAGUAAACUCUCGAGUGUCAUUUUCAUGCUGGUUGUGUCUACUUUGAAGUUCGUCGAUUAUUUCAUUUUUUUCUUGU
rnacentral:lncRNA from 1 species